CCUACGGGGGGCAGCAGUGGGGAAUAUUGCACAAUGGGCGCAAGCCUGAUGCAGCCAUGCCGCGUGUGUGAAGAAGGCCUUCGGGUUGUAAAGCACUUUCAGCGGGGAGGAAGGCGUUAAGGUUAAUAACCUUGGCGAUUGACGUUACCCGCAGAAGAAGCACCGGCUAACUCCGUGCCAGCAGCCGCGGUAAUACGGGGGGUGCAAGCGUUAAUCGGAAUUACUGGGCGUAAAGCGCACGCAGGCGGUCUGUCAAGUCGGAUGUGAAAUCCCCGGGCUCAACCUGGGAACUGCAUUCGAAACUGGCAGGCUAGAGUCUUGUAGAGGGGGGUAGAAUUCCAGGUGUAGCGGUGAAAUGCGUAGAGAUCUGGAGGAAUACCGGUGGCGAAGGCGGCCCCCUGGACAAAGACUGACGCUCAGGUGCGAAAGCGUGGGGAGCAAACAGGAUUAGAUACCCGGGUAGUC
rnacentral:rRNA from 1 species